AUUGAACGCUGGCGGCAGGCCUAAUACAUGCAAGUCGAGCGAGCGGCGGACGGGUGAGUAAUGUAUGGGGAUCUGCCAGAUGGAGGGGGAUAACUACUGGAAACGGUGGCUAAUAGCGAAUACUAUCAGAGGAACCCAUAUGGGAUUAGCUAGUAGGUGGGGUAAAGGCUCACCUAGGCGACGAUCGCUAGCUGGGCUGAGAGGAUGAUCAGCCACACUGGGACUGAGACACGGCCCAGACUCCUACGGGAGGCAGCAGUGGGGAAUAUUGCACAAUGGGCGCAAGCCUGAUGCAGCCAUGCCGCGUGUAUGAAGAAGGCCUUAGGGUUGUAAAGUACUUUCAGCGGGGAGGCGUUACCCGCAGAAGAAGCACCGGCUAACUCCGUGCCAGCAGCCGCGGUAAUUC
rnacentral:rRNA from 1 species